rnacentral:rRNA from 1 species
AACGAACGCUGGCGGCAUGCCUAACACAUGCAAGUCGAACGAGACCUUCGGGUCUAGUGGCGCACGGGUGCGUAACGCGUGGGAACCUGCCCUUAGGUUCGGAAUAACUCCCCGAAAGGGGUGCUAAUACCUGAUAAUGUCUUCCGACCAAAGGUUUAUCGCCUUUGGAUGGGCCCGCGUUGGAUUAGCUAGUUGUUAGGGUAAAAGCCUACCAAGGCGACGAUCCAUAGCUGGUCUGAGAGGAUGAUCAGCGACACUGGGACUGAGACACGGCCCAGAAUCCUACGGGAGGCAGCAGUGGGGGAUAUUGGACAAUGGGCGGAAGCCUGAUCGAGCAAUGCCGCGUGAGUGAUGAAGGCCUUAGGGUUGUAAAGCUCUUUUACCCGGGAUGAUAAUGACAGUACCGGGAGAAUAAGCUCCGGCUAACUCCGUG